rnacentral:rRNA from 1 species
UACGUAGGGGGCGAGCGUUGUCCGGAUUUAUUGGGUUUAAAGGGUGCGUAGGCGGUCCUAUAAGUCAGUGGUGAAAUAUCGCAGCUCAACUGUGAGGGUGCCAUUGAUACUGUAGGACUUGAGUGAAUUUGAGGUAGGCGGAAUUGACGGUGUAGCGGUGAAAUGCUUAGAUAUCGUCAAGAACACCGAUAGUGAAGACAGCUUACCAAGCUUCAACUGACGCUGAGGCACGAAAGUGUGGGGAUCAAACAGG